rnacentral:rRNA from 1 species
UACGGGGGGGGCAAGCGUUGUUCGGAAUUACUGGGCGUAAAGGGCUCGUAGGUGGUCAACUAAGUCGGACGUGAAAUCCCUCGGCUUAACCGGGGAACUGCGUCCGAUACUGGAUGACUUGAGUUCGGGAGAGGGAUGCGGAAUUCCAGGUGUAGCGGUGAAAUGCGUAGAUAUCGGGAGGAACACCUGUGGCGAAAGCGGCGCACUGGACCAUAACUGACGCUGAUGCGCGAAAGCUAGGGGAGCAAACAGG